UUUUUUCCAUUACUGAGGCUGAGAUCCUUUUCGUUUUUUCUACGACCUUUAGGUAAUUCCUUUCAUUUUCUGGGUUGCUUUCCCCUUUCCCGUUCCUUAAAUUUCCCCAGAAUUUUUCUGAACUUUUCCGGCUUGUUUCGUUAUGGAUUUGGUAUGUUUUUUUACCUAAUUGUCGAUGAUAUUCUUGCUACUGUUUCUUGGCCAAUAUUUUUUUUAACAAUCCGUGUUAUGGGUUUUUGGGAUUUCUGUUUGGUUGCUGGGAGAGUGGCAGCUAAGAGAAGUAAGCUGAAAGGUGGAACAUUAAUUUUGCCCUUUAACCACUAUUGAUUUGUCUUGAUUUGUUUCUUUUUCUUUAUGAAAUCAAUGUUUGAUCUUUUUUUUCUUGGCAAUUAGUGAGGAUUAUUGUUUGUUCUUUUUCUUUGGGAAUAUGGACUGACAGAGGAGAAAUAGAGACAAAAUAGGAAAAAAAAAACAUUGGGAAAAGUAGCCAGAAAAUGGAAACUACAUGGAACCUUUUAGAAGAGAACUCUUAGGCUAUGUUUGGUUCCCGGAAAAUUUGAGGGAAAAUGCGAGGGAAAGAAAAUACAAAGGAAAAGUAGAAGGAAAGAAAAAGUGAAGGAAAAUAAAAAAAAUAGAUUAAAAGUUGAUAAAUUAUUUUUUUUGUUACUUCAAACACAUUUUAUUUAUUUUAACUCAUCAAUAUAAAGAUUAAAUAAUUUAUAAAUACAUAAGUUUUUAAUUAGUUUUAAUUAUAUUUGAUUUUCUUUGAUAUUUUUCAUAGGACAACCAAACAUGAAAAAAUCAUUUUCCUUAGCAUUUUUUUUCUUUCCUUUGUACUUUCCGGGAACCAAACAUAGCCUUAAGGUAAAACGUGUUCGACCUCACUACAGUGGAGCGGAGAUAGAUGGAUUCGGAUUCGUAGAAAUCUCUUGAAUGUGAGUACCCAAUAAUCUAUUCCG
rnacentral:lncRNA from 1 species